UAUCGCAUACCAGGGAUCAUGGAUCAGUUUGUGUAACACCCGCGAAGAAUAUACGUAAGGAAAUAAUUUGGUUUCACAGCUACUUCUAUGUAUGUGUGGCCGGAUCAGAAGACUACGUUCGCUCAGGAGUCAGGAUUGCAGCAGGAGAAAGAACACAACAACAACUUCUGGAAAAGAAAACUCAACAGAAAGUAAACAACAAAAAUGCACAGGUAAAUAACCAGAUGAAAAGGUAUCAGUCCAAAGCAAAUGCUUAGUCCUUUGAAAUAAAUGUCCAACGUGGAAACAAAAAUACUCAGAUCCUUGAGUGAAAAGAGUUUCGAUGCUUAGCAAAAAAUGUGUCCAAAAAGUAAAAAACAGGUUUACACAAUAUUUCCUACCAGUGUGAUGAACAACUUACAGAUUCUAUGAAAUGGGAUGGCUCGCCAGUUUCUGCAACCGUGUGUCUCUCUCUCUCUCUCUCUCUCUCUCGAUGGACAGCAGAAACAAUUCUCCCAAACGUCAACAAAACUCCAGAUCCAGAAUCAGCAUUGCUCUCAGGAACAUCAAUAAACAAAGAAGAGAGAGAAAAGAAAAGAAACCAACAAAAAAAAAAAAAAAAA